AGUCUAUGAUGAUCCUAACCUGAACCUGAAUUCCUGUUGAAAAACCAUAAUUAUGGAAAAAAAGAA